GUGGAAUGUACGGAUUCAAGUGUAUGAACACGUGUGAUACAUGUGUCAAUAUGUCAUGUAAUCAUAUAACUGGGUCAUGUGAUAGUGGCUGUAUUGAGGGCUGGACUGGAAAUCUUUGUGUUGAAGAGUGCUCAGAUGGAACGUAUGGGUUUCAGUGUAAGAAAACAUGUGACACAUGUGUUAAUAUAUCAUGUGAUCAUAUAACUGGGUCAUGUGACAUUGGUUGUAUGGAUGGAUGGACUGGGGAUCUUUGUGUGGAAGAGUGCUCAAAUGGCACGUAUGGGUUUAGGUGUAAGAACACAUGUGAUUCGUGCGUUAAAUGUCAUGUGAUCAUAUAACUGGAUCAUGUGACGUAGGCUGUAUCGAUGGUUGGACUGGAGAAACGUGCGGACAGGUUUGCCCUGAAGGGCAAUACGGUCACAACUGUUCUGGACAAUGUCAGAAUUGUGAAAACGAGACUUGCCAUCACGUGACAGGGUCGUGCCAGGGAUUAUGUAAAGAGGGCUGGAUAGGUGACACGUGUCAGGAAGCUCUUAAAACCUCUACAGUGAUAUUCCCUUUUAUAUAUGUAUUAAAUGGAGCCUGUGGAAGUGUACUGGUGGUUUAUAUAGUCAUAAUUAUUGUCGUGGUAGUAAGGUAAUGUAUCUUACUUUUACGUAUAGGUAACCUUAGCGUAAGUUUGAUAGGAUUGAUAGUAUUAAUUUUUUUUUUGACAAAAGUGUUGGUUAUAUGUUUCAAUAAUUUUCAUUUCAGAAAUUUGUUUAGCUUUGGGGAAUUUUUUUUAUAGUAUUUCUUAAUCAAAGUUUGAUAAUGUGAAAUUGAGUGUUUGGCAUUAUAAAUAAUGAUUCAAUCGUGCUCAAAGGGACAUUUACACCGCUUGAAUUGAUUAUUUAAAAACCAAGUUUAAUGUUUAAUAUUAUUCUUUUCUUGUACAAUUCUAAUGAUGAGCAAAAGUUUGAACACCAUUUAUUGAUUUACAAACGAGAUACAGAACUGAAAAUCCUUCAUAAUGUAAACAAGAUUCGUGUCUUGUUUUGGUUUACAUGUAGAAA